GACUAUGCUUUCUGGGGAAGUAAAACUGGCUCUCCCCUUCUCAUCGUGGAAUUCUGCUUUGCAGGGUUCCGAGAGGAGAGUUAGGAGAGAUCAGUUUAGAGGAAAAAAAAAAGAAAAAAUAUUCACCUUUGUGAUGCUGGCCUCAAAACUCGAGAC